UGGGGAAUUUUGGACAAUGGGCGCAAGCCUGAUCCAGCAAUGCCGCGUGCAGGAAGAAGGCCUUCGGGUUGUAAACUGCUUUUGUCAGGGAAGAAAUCUUCUGGGCUAAUACCCCGGGAGGAUGACGGUACCUGAAGAAUAAGCACCGGCUAACUACGUGCCAGCAGCCGCGGUAAUACGUAGGGUGCGAGCGUUAAUCGGAAUUACUGGGCGUAAAGCGUGCGCAGGCGGCUUUGCAAGACAGAUGUGAAAUCCCCGGGCUCAACCUGGGAACUGCAUUUGUGACUGCAAGGCUAGAGUACGGCAGAGGGGGAUGGAAUUCCGCGUGUAGCAGUGAAAUGCGUAGAUAUGCGGAGGAACACCAAUGGCGAAGGCAAUCCCCUGGGCCUGUACUGACGCUCAUGCACGAAAGCGUGGGGAGCAAACAGGAUUAGAUACCCUGCUAGUCCACGCCCUAAACGAUGUCAACUGGUUGUUGGGUCUUCACUGACUCAGUAACGAAGCUAACGCGUGAAGUUGACCGCCUGGGGAGUACGGCCGCAAGGUUG
rnacentral:rRNA from 1 species